rnacentral:lncRNA from 1 species
GGCGAGAGACUUCUAAUCAAACAAAAAUACAGAGAAUUGAGUUUGAAUUGAACACUUGAUAUACAAUCAGUGGUGUUCACAAUACAAUACAGAAAAGACUCUAGACUUUGAAUUUCUAAGAUGUAUCAAAUCAGUGCAGAAAUUCAGUGUGCUUUGUAGAAUCAAAUUGACAGAGUUUUGGCGCUUUUGAACUUAUGUAUUUCUCUAUAUUAUCUUCAAGUCUUCACUCCUUUUUAUAGAGGCGUGAAAGAGACGUUGAGAUAAUCAGCACGUCUAAAGAGUCGUUUGAAAUCCUUUGAUUAUCCACCAGUGAUCCUUUGCCUGAUUUGGGUGUAGUCCUUUGAAGAAUAAACUUCAAAUUCCUUCCCAUCUUGAGUGUACAAUUCUGCAGGCAUGGCUGUUGUUUUGUCUUGUAGCGUAGACAGAAAACAGAGUAGUGGAGGUAGUGGUUGUACACUUGUACUUUGUCAACUCUAUUAACGAGAGACAAGAGCUCAGUGCUAUCCAUAUAUCCGUUGAUACCUC